AUACGUAGGUGACAAGCGUUAUCCGGAUUUACUGGGCGUAAAGGGCGUGUAGGCGGUCUUGCAAGUCAGAAGUGAAAUUCCUGAGCUCAACUCGGGCGCUGCUUCUGAAACUGCAGGACUUGAGUGCUUGAGGGGAUAGCGGAAUUCCUAGUGGAGCGGUAAAAUGCGCAGAUAUUAGGAAGAACACCGGUGGCGAAGGCGGCUAUCUGGACAGUAACUGACGCUGAGGCGCGAAAGCGUGGGGAGCAAACAGGAUUAGAUACCCUGUUAGUCCACGCCGUAAACGAUGAAUACUAGGUGUAGGGGGUAUCGACUCCCUCUGUGCCGCAGUUAACACAAUAAGUAUUCCGCCUGGGGAGUACGGCCGCAAGGUUGAAACUCAAAUGAAUUGACGGGG
rnacentral:rRNA from 1 species